UACGGAGGGGGCUAGCGUUGUUCGGAAUUACUGGGCGUAAAGCGCACGUAGGCGGCUUUGUAAGUUAGAGGUGAAAGCCCAGGGCUUAACCCUGGAAUUGCCUUUAAGACUGCAUCGCUAGAAUCGUGGAGAGGUAAGUGGAAUUCCGAGUGUAGCGGUGAAAUGCGUAGAUAUCGGGAGGAACACCUGUGGCGAAAGCGGCUCACUGGACCAUAACUGACGCUGAUGCACGAAAGCUGGGGGAGCAAACAGG
rnacentral:rRNA from 1 species